AUUUAGAUGAUAGUUUGAUGGAGUACGGUAGCGGCGUGUGGCGCGCAGACAAAGAAAUCUCCGAGGGAGCGAAAGAGAUGUGACCUUUGACCCCACGCCCUUUGACCGUCCCGCCUGUGUGCAGAGGCCGCGCGGCCCGGCGGCCAAUCGUCACCUCCUUCUCGGAGCGCGGGCAGAGCGUGCACAUCGUUUCGGGUCUGUGACGGACUUAAAAAUGAGUUACGGGCCCGCGUAACCUGCUUGCUGUCCUGGGUGGCAACAACAACCCUACAGCCAAGAA